UACGUAGGGGGCAAGCGUUGUCCGGAUUUAUUGGGCGUAAAGAGCGUGUAGGCGGCUAGGUAGGUCCGUUGUGAAAACUCGAGGCUCAACCUCGAGACGUCGAUGGAAACCAUCUAGCUAGAGUCCGGAAGAGGAGAGUGGAAUUCCUGGUGUAGCGGUGAAAUGCGCAGAUAUCAGGAAGAACACCCCGUGGCGAAGGCGGCUCUCUGGUACGUGACUGACGCUGAGACGCGAAAGCGUGGGGAGCGAACAGG
rnacentral:rRNA from 1 species